UACGAAGGGGGCUAGCGUUGCUCGGAAUCACUGGGCGUAAAGCGCACGUAGGCGGACUCUUAAGUCGGUGGUGAAAUCCUGGAGCUCAACUCCAGAACUGCCUCCGAUACUGGGAGUCUUGAGUCCGGGAGAGGUGAGUGGAACUGCGAGUGUAGAGGUGAAAUUCGUAGAUAUUCACAAGAACACCAGUGGCGAAGGCGGCUCACUGGCCCGGUACUGACGCUCAUGCACGAAAGCGUGGGGAGCAAACAGG
rnacentral:rRNA from 1 species